GUGCCAGCCGCCGCGGUAAUACGAAGGGGGCUAGCGUUGUUCGGAAUUACUGGGCGUAAAGCGCACGUAGGCGGAUUUGUUAGUCAGGGGUGAAAUCCCGGGGCUCAACCUCGGAACUGCCUUUGAUACUGCAAGUCUAGAGUCCGGAAGAGGUGAGUGGAAUUCCUAGUGUAGAGGUGAAAUUCGUAGAUAUUAGGAAGAACACCAGUGGCGAAGGCGGCUCACUGGUCCGGUACUGACGCUGAGGUGCGAAAGCGUGGGGAGCAAACAGGAUUAGAAACCCUUGUAGUCC
rnacentral:rRNA from 1 species